UAAGAAAAAUAAAACCCUUUCCUUGUGGCUAAAUGCUAAAUGUAUUUUUAUUAGAAGAAUUCAUGGUAGGAGCUGGGAAACUAAAUACUAGAAAUCUGCAGCCAAACAUCCUUGUGUUUCAGGGAAAAUAAAAUUGCUUUCCAAAGGAAAUAAAAAUAGGCGAUCCACAGUAAUCUACUACACAGAUGAAAAAGCAGACCAGAAAAUCAACAGAAUAAUAUAGAAGUAUAAAAGGUUUAGAUACGUUUGGAGUCCAACCAAACAAGAUUAAAACAAAAGCACAAGAAAAGUAAAAGCUGAAUGAUCCAGAGCGUUGCUAAUGGUCCUGAGAAAUCUCUCAGCUCCCAUUCAGCUGAGGACAGCCUGAAGCAUGCUAAUGAGGGGCAAGUAGCUACUUGACACACUACGUCACAGAAGCAAGAGAUCCAAUCCUCUUCAGUCAAUAUGACCUACUCAAAUGCCAGUGCUAACCGCAGAGGGAGCUAACUGUAAGACAGAAGAGCGGCUGAUCACAGCAAAACCCUGGCACCACACUGACAAGGAAGCCUUAGCAGCCUCUUCUCCUACUUGAACUGCAGCUGCAAAGCAACGUCCAUUUAGUGACUGGUUUUAUGUUGUAUACUCAAGAAAC